rnacentral:rRNA from 1 species
CCUUACUGCUAUCGGGGUGGGACUAAGACAUGCGAGUCGAGCGUCUCUAGCUAUGUUGAGACGCGGCAGACGGCUCAGUAACACGUGGCUAACCUACCCUCAGGACGAGGAUAAACCCGGGAAACUGGGGCUAAUACUCGAUAGGUGAGUAUGUCUGGAAUGAUUUCUCACUCAAAGGGCCUUGGGAACACGCUUCCAAUGUCGCCUGGGGAUGGGGCCGCGUCCGAUCAGGUUGUUGGUGAGGUAAUGGCUCACCAAGCCUAUAACCGGUACGGGCCGUGAGAGCGGUAGCCCGGAGAUGGGUACUGAGACAAGGACCCAGGCCCUACGGGGCGCAGCAGUCGCGAAAACUCCGCAAUGCACGAAAGUGUGACGGGGCUACCCCCAAGUGCCAUCCGCUGAGGGUGGCUUUUCCUUGGUAUAACUAGCCGAGGGAAUAAGGAGAGGGCAAGACUGGUGUCAGCCGCCGCGGUAAUACCAGCUCUCCGAGUGGUAGGGAUGAUUAUUGGGCUUAAAGCGUCCGUAGCCGGCUUAGCAAGUCUCCUGUUAAAUUCAGCGACCUAAUCGUUGAGCCGCGGGAGAUACUACUAGGCUAGGAGGCGGGAGAGGUCGACGGUACUUCUGGGGUAGGGGUGAAAUCCUAUAAUCCCGGGAGGACCACCAGUGGCGAAGGCUGUCGACUAGAACGCGCUCGACGGUGAGGGACGAAAGCUGGGGGAGCGAACCGGAUUAGAUACCCGGGUAGUCCCAGCCGUAAACGAUGCGGGCUAGGUGUUGGGAUGGCUACGUGCCAUUUCAGUGCCGCAGGGAAGCCAUUAAGCCCGCCGCCUGGGGAGUACGGCCGCAAGGCUGAAACUUAAAGGAAUUGGCGGGGGAGCACCACAAGGCGUGAAGCUUGCGGUUC